GUGAGGGAUUUUGCGCAAUGGACGAAAGUCUGACGCAGCGACGCCGCGUGGGUGAUGAAGGUCUUCGGAUUGUAAAGCCCUGUCAGGGGGGAAGAGAAAGGACGGUACCCCCAGAGGAAGCCUCGGCUAACUACGUGCCAGCAGCCGCGGUAAGACGUAGGGGGCAAGCGUUGUCCGGAAUUACUGGGCGUAAAGAGCUCGUAGGUGGGGCUAUAAGUCGACGAGUAAAUGCCUCGGCUCAACUGGGGUCUCAUCGUUGAUACUGUAGCUCUUGAGGACAGGAGAGGAAAGCGGAAUUCCCGGUGUAGCGGUGAAAUGCGUAGAGAUCGGGAGGAACACCAGUGGCGAAGGCGGCUUUCUGGCCUGAUUCUGACACUGAGGAGCGAAAGCCAGGGUAGCGAACGGGAUUAGAAACCCGGGUAGUCC
rnacentral:rRNA from 1 species